rnacentral:rRNA from 1 species
UACGUAGGGUGCAAGCGUUAAUCGGAAUUACUGGGCGUAAAGCGUGCGCAGGCGGUUAUGCAAGACAGAUGUGAAAUCCCCGGGCUUAACCUGGGAACUGCAUUCGGGACUGCAUUGCUAGAGUAUGGGAGAGGGAAGUGGAAUUUCAGGUGUAGCGGUGAAAUGCGUAGAUAUCUGAAGGAACAUCAGUGGCGAAAGCGACUUCCUGGACCAAUACUGACGCUCAUGUGCGAAAGCGUGGGGAGCAAACAGG